rnacentral:rRNA from 1 species
GCAUGUCUAAGUAUAAGCAAUUAUACAGCGAAACUGCGAAUGGCUCAUUAUAUAAGUUAUCGUUUAUUUGAUAGUGCCUUACUACUUGGAUAACCGUGGUAAUUCUAGAGCUAAUACAUGCUGAAAGCCCCGACUCACGGAGGGGCGUAUUUAUUAGAUUAAAAACCAAUGCCCUUCGGGGCUCCUUGGUGAUUCAUGAUAACUUCUCGAAUCGCACGGCCUUGCGCCGGCGAUGGUUCAUUCAAAUUUCUUCCCUAUCAACUUUCGAUGUUUGGGUAGUGGCCAAACAUGGUGGCAACGGGUAACGGAGGGUUAGGGCUCGACCCCGGAGAAGGAGCCUGAGAAACGGCUCCUACAUCCAAGGAAGGCAGCAGGCGCGCAAAUUACCCAAUCCCGACUCGGGGAGGUAGUGACAAUAAAUACUGAUGCAGGGCUCUUUAGGGUCUUGCAAUUGGAAUGAGUACAAUUUAAAUCCCUUAACGAGGAACAAUUGGAGGGCAAGUCUGGUGCCAGCAGCCGCGGUAACUCCAGCUCCAAUAGCGUAUAUUAAAGUUGUUGUGGUUAAAAAGCUCGUAGUUGAACCUUGGGCCUGGCCGUCCGGUCCGCCUCACCGCGUGCACUGGCACGGCCGGGCCUUCCCACCGCGGAAUCGCAUGCCCUUUACUGGGCGUGUCGGGGAAGCGGUACUUUUACUGUGAAAAAAUUAGAGUGCUCUAAGCAGGCCUAUGCUCGAAUACAUUAGCAUGGAAUAAUAGAAUAGGACAGGCGUUCUAUUUUGUUGGUUUCUAGGACGUCUGUAAUGAUUAACAGAAACAAUCGGGGGCGUCAGUAUUGCAUCGUCAGAGGUGAAAUUCUUAGAUCGACGCAAGACUAACUACUGCGAAAGCAUUCGCCAAGGGUGUUUUCAUUAAUCAGGAACGAAAGUUAGGGGAUCGAAGACGAUCAGAUACCGUCGUAGUCUUAACCAUAAACUAUGCCGACUAGGGAUCGGGCGGUGUUAAUUUUUGACCCGCUCGGCACCUUACGAGAAAUCUUAAGUGCUUGGGCUCCAGGGGGAAUAUGGUCGCAAG